rnacentral:rRNA from 1 species
AUUGAACGCUGGCGGCAGGCCUAACACAUGCCAGUCGAGCGGAUGAAGGGAGCUUGCUCCUGGAUUCAGCGGCGGACGGGUGAGUAAUGCCUAGGAAUCUGCCUGGGAGUGGGGGAUAACGUCCGGAAACGGGCGCUAAUACCGCAUACGUCCUGAGGGAGAAAGUGGGGGAUCUUCGGACCUCACGCUAUCAGAUGAGCCUAGGUCGGAUUAGCUAGUUGGUGGGGUAAAGGCCUACCAAGGCGACGAUCCGUAACUGGUCUGAGAGGAUGAUCAGUCACACUGGAACUGAGACACGGUCCAGACUCCUACGGGAGGCAGCAGUGGGGAAUAUUGGACAAUGGGCGAAAGCCUGAUCCAGCCAUGCCGCGUGUGUGAAGAAGGUCUUCGGAUUGUAAAGCACUUUAAGUUGGGAGGAAGGGCAGUAAGUUAAUACCUCGCUGUUUUGACGUUACCAACAGAAUAAGCACCGGCUAACUUCGUG